GGAUGUGAGAGCCAUCUGGCUGUGACAUCUGUCACUCCAUGGAUCACCGAGGUUGAUUCAGCUGAUCUGGCUGGCUGGGCAGGUGUCCUCUUCUUCCCUCGGGGUUCCUCCCUCCUGCGGCGCUGCCCUGUGGAGCUACAUGCUUGGUCGGCCACCCAGGAUGGAGGAGGAUAUAUGAGUAGCUACACACUCCCUUCCUAGAACCUCCAGACAAGCUUUCCACAAGGGAGAAUUUUCCCUUGCCUAAUGUCAUGAAAUACCGUGGUGUGCUUU
rnacentral:sRNA from 1 species